AGUGAACGCUGGCGGUAGGCCUAACACAUGCAAGUCGAACGGCAGCACAGUAAGAGCUUGCUCUUACGGGUGGCGAGUGGCGGACGGGUGAGGAAUACAUCGGAAUCUACUUUUUCGUGGGGGAUAACGUAGGGAAACUUACGCUAAUACCGCAUACGACCUACGGGUGAAAGCAGGGGAUCUUCGGACCUUGCGCGAUUGAAUGAGCCGAUGUCGGAUUAGCUAGUUGGCGGGGUAAAGGCCCACCAAGGCGACGAUCCGUAGCUGGUCUGAGAGGAUGAUCAGCCACACUGGAACUGAGACACGGUCCAGGCUCCUACGGGAGGCAGCAGUGGGGAAUAUUGGACAAUGGGCGCAAGCCUGAUCCAGCCAUACCGCGUGGGUGAAGAAGGCCUUCGGGUUGUAAAGCCCUUUUGUUGGGAAAGAAAAGCAGCAGGUUAAUACCCCGCUGUUCGGACGGUACCCAAAGAAUAAGCACCGGCUAACUUCGU
rnacentral:rRNA from 1 species